ACUCUUAUAGCUUAAAUUUAGAGCGUAGCGCUGAAAACGCUAAGAUGAAACCUAAGAAGUUCUAAGGGUA
rnacentral:tRNA from 1 species